UUUAAAAAUACGUGUGCAAUAAAGUUCUAAGUUACAUCCCUAAACUUUCUUGCAAAUACAAUUUGUAACUUUUCAGAGGAGAGAGACAUGGCAGAGAUUUUUUGAAGAGUACUGGGAGCCUGAUGGGGAGAUAUCUACCCACGAAGGUCCAGGGUUGGCAAAAAUGUUCCCUGGACCCUCAGAUGUUGCCUACCCCUGCUCUAUAGAAGAGGAAUGCAUCUUAAACUCUAGUUUUUCCUCCCACAAAUAAAGACAGCACUGGAUAACAUAUAUAACCAUUCCUGGACUGCAUAUCACACAGGAAAACCAGCAAUGAUGAGAAAGCUGUUUUUCAGGCAGCUGUUUUCACCAUGUUACUGCUGUGUGCUUUCAAGUCAUUUACAAUGUAUGGCAACCCUAAGCUGACACUAUCAGGCAAGAUUUCCUUGUGGGGAGGGGUUGUCUUCCUCUAAGACAACAUGAUUUGCUCAAGCUCACCCUGUGGGUUUCCAUAGCCAAGCUGGGAUUUGAGCCCUGAUCUCCCACAUCAUUGUCCAACACUUGAAACAAUUUAAAAUAAGUACUGAGUCUUAUACGGCUGUCUAAACAUACUGGUUGACUAUGAUAUGCACUUGCUCUUUUGAAUUAGUAAAAAGCUCAGCAUUGAGCACUGAUGAGUUUCCAAGAUGGUUGUGCAGCAGGCAUCUGAAGUGCCUUGCUUGGGACUUGGGACAGCAAAAACCCCGAGAGUGGUAGAAACUCCUUUCCUGUAGCACCUCUGAAAAAUAAUUGUGUAUUGUGUGUGGGUUUUUAAAAGAGCACAUUUUAUUUCUUCAUGCCCUAGCAAAAGACCAAAUAGAACUGGCAUGUUGCUAUGGAUCCAUAGUGUGCAUUUUUGACCCUCUUUGGAGUUGUGGGUAAAUUGUUUGGCCAUAGCACUGUAGCCAGUCCCUUCUAAUACCUGCUAUCAUGAUCCUACGUCAUAGCCUGGACAAAUCUUCAGCACCAGAAAAACCAUAGCCCUUUCUCUGGGCUGCCAGAGUCCCAAUUAUUAUUUGCCUGUCUGCUGUUUCCCUGACUGAUUUAGAUACUUGCUGUUUUUCUUGUCCCUGUUUUGCCAGUCUUUAUAUGCUGCUUCAACUAUAGCAAUACUGUACUAACCAUAGGCUUAAGUGCAGCAGCAUAAAGUCACGUACUUCGAGAAAGACCCAUCAAUGGAAAUGUUUAUUGUAUCAGGCUACUGCAUAGGCCUGUUUGGCCAACAAGACAGCUAAAGUACUAACAGCAUAUUUCCAGAAGCACUGUGGUUUUGUUCCAUGUACUCUGGUUCUCUGCAAUUGCUGUACUAUCCUAGAUUAUUCAUCCUUACACAGUUGGAUGUUCUUUUACUCUGGAAAGGAAUUCAUCUGGAUGCAAUCAAAUGCACACGCUUCUUGUCAUUAUGGGCACUCAAACCUCUCUACAGAGGAUACUGAUAACUCUAUUACCUGAAUUUUAGGCAGAUGCAUCGUAACCACUCAGCAUCCAUGCAAUUCCCAUUAGCAUUAGUACAGGAAAAAAUGAGCAUACAAACAGAGAGGAAAAUACAUUUAGGAGGUCCUUGAUUUGCUUAUUUCCACCAUCUCCUUCAGAUAAAGUCACAUUUGAAAGCCUUCAGAUGUUUUUAUCUGUAUUUUAGGAUGGGUGGGGUGUAGUUCUCAGUAUUUCUCAAGCACACCAUGAUGCUAAAUGUUUCUGAAGGACUAAUGGAACUGAAAUUUUGGGUAAUAACUGCCUUAAAAUGAUGUUUUUAUAGAUAUAUAAUUCUGAAAUUUCAUUCAUCUUAAAGGCAGCCCUGUAGAUUUGGAUCCACAAUUUGAAAGAAAGAUGAUGUGCCAUUGACUGUAGCAAUUUAGGAGAGAAUUAUUGGAAUCUGAAUUCUGAUCAGAGGACAGCAGAAAAGCAUACUGAUCAACUUUGGAAAAUGAAAUGGGAAGAGGAAACAGCAAAGUUUAUCCACUUUCAGUCACGAAAUGUAGAGGACACAUAAUCUAUGGACCUAAGCACACAUGAUCCAACUGACAGUGUCAUCACACCAACAUAAUCAAUAAAGCCCAAAGAAUGAAUGUCUUAUGAAGAUAAAUCAAUAAUUUCAAUGGGGUUUGUUGUUGUUGUUGUUGUUGUUGUUGUUGUUGUUGUGUGCCUUCAAAUCAUUUCCAACUCAUGAUGACCCUAAG